UACGUAGGGGGCAAGCGUUGUCCGGAUUUAUUGGGCGUAAAGGGCUCGUAGGCGGUUUGUUGCGUCGGCUGUGAAAACCUGAGGCUCAACCUCAGGCCUGCAGUCGAUACGAGCAGACUAGAGUGUUGCAGGGGAGACUGGAAUUCCUGGUGUAGCGGUGAAAUGCGCAGAUAUCAGGAGGAACACCCGUAGCGAAGGCGGCACUCUGGGCCGGAACUGACGCUGAGGAGCGAAAGCGUGGGGAGCGAACAGG
rnacentral:rRNA from 1 species